rnacentral:rRNA from 1 species
GAAGGUGGCAAGCGUUACUCGGAAUUACUAGGCGUAAAGGGCAGGUAGGUGGUUUAGUAAGUCUAUUGUGAAAGCUCCCGGCUUAACUGGGAGAGGUCAAUGGAUACUGCUGAACUUGAGUAUAGGAGAGGUUACUGGAAUUCCCGGUGUAGCGGUGAAAUGCGCAGAGAUCGGGAGGAACACCAAUGGCGAAAGCAGGUAACUGGACUAUUACUGACACUCAGCUGCGAAAGCUAGGGGAGCAAACAGGAUUAGAUACCCUGGUAGUCCUAGCCGUAAACGAUGCACAUUAGACGUGAGGGGUAUCGACCCCCUCCGUGUCGACGCUAACGCAUUAAAUGUGCCGCCUGGGGAGUACGGCCGCUAGGUUG